rnacentral:rRNA from 1 species
UGGGGAAUCUUGCGCAAUGGCCGAAAGGCUGACGCAGCGACGCCGCGUGGGGGAUGAAGGUUUUCGGAUCGUAAACCCCUGUUGCCCGGGACGAACAGCCUUUUUCGAGAGGCCUGACGGUACCGGGUGAGGAAGCACCGGCUAACUCCGUGCCAGCAGCCGCGGUAAUACGGAGGGUGCGAGCGUUGUCCGGAAUCACUGGGCGUAAAGGGCGCGUAGGUGGCCUGAUGAGUCAACGGUGAAAGCUCGACGCUCAACGUCGAGUCGGCCGUCGAUACUGUUAGGCUGGAGCACUGUAGAGGCAGAUGGAAUUCCGGGUGUAGCGGUGGAAUGCGUAGAGAUCCGGAAGAACACCGGUGGCGAAGGCGGUCUGCUGGGCAGUAGCUGACACUGAGGCGCGACAGCGUGGGGAGCAAACAGGAUUAGAUACCCCGGUAGUCC